rnacentral:rRNA from 1 species
GAUGAGCGCUGGCGGCGUGCCUAAUACAUGCAAGUCGAACGGGGAGUAGCAAUACUCUUAGUGGCGAACGGGUGAGUAACGCGUUGGUACCUGCCCCGAAGCGGGGGAUAACGGACCCAAAGGUCCGCUAAUACCCCAUGUGCUCGGUAACGAGUAAAGGUGAAAACCACUUUGGGAGGGGCCUGCGUCCCAUCAGCUAGUUGGUAAGGUAACGGCUUACCAAGGCGAUGACGGGUAGGGGACCUGAGAGGGUGGCCCCCCACAAUGGAACUGAAACACGGUCCAUACACCUACGGGUGGCAGCAGUAGGGAAUAUUGGUAAUGGGCGCAAGCCUGAACCAGCAACGCCGCGUGUGCGAUGACGGCCUUCGGGUUGUAAAGCACUUUUGACUGGGACGAGGAAGGACGGUACCGGUCGAAUCAGCCUCGGCUAACUACGUG